GGAGUACACGAGCGGCGAACGGGUGAGUAACACGUGAGCAACCUGCCCUUCUCAUCGGAAUAAGCGUUGGAAACGACGUCUAAUGCCGAAUACGACCUCAGAAGGCAUCUUCAGAGGUGGAAAGCUCCGGCGGAGAAGGAUGGGCUCGCGGCCUAUCAGCUUGUUGGUGGGGUAACGGCCCACCAAGGCGACGACGGGUAGCCGGCCUGAGAGGGUGACCGGCCACACUGGGACUGAGACACGGCCCAGACUCCUACGGGAGGCAGCAGUGGGGAAUAUUGGACAAUGGGCGAAAGCCUGAUCCAGCAACGCCGCGUGAGGGAUGACGGCCUUCGGGUUGUAAACCUCUUUCAGCACCGACGAAGCGAAAGUGACGGUAGGUGCAGAAGAAGGACCGGCCAACUACGUGCCAGCAGCCGCGGUAAUACGUAGGGUCCGAGCGUUGUCCGGAAUUAUUGGGCGUAAAGGGCUCGUAGGCGGUUUGUCGCGUCGGGAGUGAAAACUCAGGGCUCAACCCUGAGCGUGCUUCCGAUACGGGCAGACUAGAGGUAUGCAGGGGAGAACGGAAUUCCUGGUGUAGCGGUGGAAUGCGCAGAUAU
rnacentral:rRNA from 1 species